rnacentral:lncRNA from 1 species
AUUCAUCAGCGAGAGGGGACCUGAAAGCAGGUCGCCAUCUGUGAGGGUCAGCUUUUGGUCCAGUGACUCACUCACAGAAACUCCAAGACAGAUUAAACUAGCAAGAGUUGAAUAUCUGAAUUUCCAAAAUUAUGAGGCUACAAAAAGAAGCAUAGAUUAAAGUUAGGACCAAAUGCUGCUCAGAAAUUGUUUUAAUCUCAAAAGUAGUUGGCAAGUUUUCAGAGUUCAUUUUCAAGGCCUGGUGUAUGUGAAACAACUGAACAUUCAGAGCUAUUUCAUUUUCAAAGAUUCUCACAUCCAACAGAGAGAAGAAGGUCAUACGAAGACACGCAGAAUUUGGACUUAUGCGGUCACAAGUCAAGGAGUGCUUGGAGCUACCGGGAGAUGGAAGAGUCAAGGCAGGAUUUUCCCUGGAAGAUUUGGAAGGAACAUAUUUCUCCUGAAACCUUGAUUCUAGCCUUCACUAAUGACAGAGAAUAAAUUUCUGUUCUUUUAAGCCACUCAGUUUGUGGUACUUUGUCUUACAGAAACCCUGGGACACUAAUAAAUUUCCUAAGUGGUAUACAUAACAUCUUCUAACAUUAUGAUUCUAUGGAAUGCUUUGAUAAUCAGCUAAAAGUUAUCGGCUGUCUCCCAGGAAAGAUGCACAAACAUACAUAUUCAACAUUUUGUGUUCAAUUUUUCAAGUUUCCAGGAUUUCCAGGGCCUCUCUACAGAUC